UUAAGCGACUAAGCGUACACGGUGGAUGCCCUGGCAGUCAGAGGCGAUGAAGGACGUGCUAAUCUGCGAAAAGCGUCGGUAAGGUGAUAUGAACCGUUAUAACCGGCGAUGUCCGAAUGGGGAAACCCAGUGCAAUUCGUUGCACUAUCGUUAACUGAAUACAUAGGUUAACGAGGCGAACCGGGGGAACUGAAACAUCUAAGUACCCCGAGGAAAAGAAAUCAACCGAGAUUCCCCCAGUAGCGGCGAGCGAACGGGGAGCAGCCCAGAGUCUGAAUCAGCUUGUGUGUUAGUGGAACGGUCUGGAAAGUCCGACGGUACAGGGUGAUAGUCCCGUACACCAAAAUGCACAGGCUGUGAACUCGAAGAGUAGGGCGGGACACGUGGUAUCCUGUCUGAAUAUGGGGGGACCAUCCUCCAAGGCUAAAUACUCCUGACUGACCGAUAGUGAACCAGUACCGUGAGGGAAAGGCGAAAAGAACCCCGGCGAGGGGAGUGAAAAAGAACCUGAAACCGUGUACGUACAAGCAGUGGGAGCACCUUCGGGUGUGACUGCGUACCUUUUGUAUAAUGGGUCAGCGACUUAUAUUCUGUAGCAAGGUUAACCGUAUAGGGGAGCCGCAGGGAAACCGAGUCUUAACUGGGCGUUAAGUUGCAGGGUAUAGACCCGAAACCCGGUGAUCUAGCCAUGGGCAGGUUGAAGGUUGGGUAACACUAACUGGAGGACCGAACCGACUAAUGUUGAAAAAUUAGCGGAUGACUUGUGGCUGGGGGUGAAAGGCCAAUCAAACCGGGAGAUAGCUGGUUCUCCCCGAAAGCUAUUUAGGUAGCGCCUCGUGAAUUCAUCUUCGGGGGUAGAGCACUGUUUCGGCUAGGGGGUCAUCCCGACUUACCAACCCGAUGCAAACUACGAAUACCGAAGAAUGUUAUCACGGGAGACACACGGCGGGUGCUAACGUCCGUCGUGAAGAGGGAAACAACCCAGACCGCCAGCUAAGGUCCCAAAGUCAUGGUUAAGUGGGAAACGAUGUGGGAAGGCACAGACAGCCAGGAUGUUGGCUUAGAAGCAGCCAUCAUUUAAAGAAAGCGUAAUAGCUCACUGGUCGAGUCGGCCUGCGCGGAAGAUGUAACGGGGCUAAACCAUGCACCGAAGCUGCGGCAGCGACACUAUGUGUUGUUGGGUAGGGGAGCGUUCUGUAAGCCUGCGAAGGUGUGCUGUGAGGCAUGCUGGAGGUAUCAGAAGUGCGAAUGCUGACAUAAGUAACGAUAAAGCGGGUGAAAAGCCCGCUCGCCGGAAGACCAAGGGUUCCUGUCCAACGUUAAUCGGGGCAGGGUGAGUCGACCCCUAAGGCGAGGCCGAAAGGCGUAGUCGAUGGGAAACAGGUUAAUAUUCCUGUACUUGGUGUUACUGCGAAGGGGGGACGGAGAAGGCUAUGUUAGCCGGGCGACGGUUGUCCCGGUUUAAGCAUGUAGGCUGGUUGUCCAGGCAAAUCCGGAUAAUCAAGGCUGAGGUGUGAUGACGAGGCACUACGGUGCUGAAGUAACAAAUGCCCUGCUUCCAGGAAAAGCCUCUAAGCAUCAGGUAACAUCAAAUCGUACCCCAAACCGACACAGGUGGUCAGGUAGAGAAUACCAAGGCGCUUGAGAGAACUCGGGUGAAGGAACUAGGCAAAAUGGUGCCGUAACUUCGGGAGAAGGCACGCUGGUGUGUAGGUGAAGUCCCUGCGGAUGGAGCUGAGACCAGUCGAAGAUACCAGCUGGCUGCAACUGUUUAUUAAAAACACAGCACUGUGCAAACACGAAAGUGGACGUAUACGGUGUGACGCCUGCCCGGUGCCGGAAGGUUAAUUGAUGGGGUUAUCCGUAAGGAGAAGCUCUUGAUCGAAGCCCCGGUAAACGGCGGCCGUAACUAUAACGGUCCUAAGGUAGCGAAAUUCCUUGUCGGGUAAGUUCCGACCUGCACGAAUGGCGUAAUGAUGGCCAGGCUGUCUCCACCCGAGACUCAGUGAAAUUGAACUCGCUGUGAAGAUGCAGUGUACCCGCGGCAAGACGGAAAGACCCCGUGAACCUUUACUAUAGCUUGACACUGAACAUUGAGCCUUGAUGUGUAGGAUAGGUGGGAGGCUUUGAAGCGUGGACGCCAGUCUGCGUGGAGCCAACCUUGAAAUACCACCCUUUAAUGUUUGAUGUUCUAACGUUGGCCCCUGACCGGGGUUGCGGACAGUGUCUGGUGGGUAGUUUGACUGGGGCGGUCUCCUCCCAAAGCGUAACGGAGGAGCACGAAGGUUAGCUAAUCCUGGUCGGACAUCAGGAGGUUAGUGCAAUGGCAUAAGCUAGCUUGACUGCGAGCGUGACGGCGCGAGCAGGUGCGAAAGCAGGUCAUAGUGAUCCGGUGGUUCUGAAUGGAAGGGCCAUCGCUCAACGGAUAAAAGGUACUCCGGGGAUAACAGGCUGAUACCGCCCAAGAGUUCAUAUCGACGGCGGUGUUUGGCACCUCGAUGUCGGCUCAUCACAUCCUGGGGCUGAAGUAGGUCCCAAGGGUAUGGCUGUUCGCCAUUUAAAGUGGUACGCGAGCUGGGUUUAGAACGUCGUGAGACAGUUCGGUCCCUAUCUGCCGUGGGCGCUGGAGAAUUGAGGGGGGCUGCUCCUAGUACGAGAGGACCGGAGUGGACGCAUCACUGGUGUUCGGGUUGUCAUGCCAAUGGCACUGCCCGGUAGCUAAAUGCGGAAGAGAUAAGUGCUGAAAGCAUCUAAGCACGAAACUUGCCCCGAGAUGAGUUCUCCCUGAGACUUUAAGUCUCCUGAAGGAACGUUGAAGACGACGACGUUGAUAGGCCGGGUGUGUAAGCGCAGCGAUGCGUUGAGCUAACCGGUACUAAUGAACCGUGAGGCUUAACCUU
rnacentral:rRNA from 1 species